UACGUAGGGACCAAGCGUUGUUCGGAUUUACUGGGCGUAAAGGGCGCGUAGGCGGCUUGACAAGUCACUUGUGAAAUCUCCGGGCUUAACUCGGAACGGCCAAGUGAAACUGUCAUGCUAGAGUGCAGAAGGGGCAAUCGGAAUUCUUGGUGUAGCGGUGAAAUGCGUAGAUAUCAAGAGGAACACCUGAGGUGAAGACGGGUUGCUGGGCUGACACUGACGCUGAGGUGCGAAAGCGUGGGGAGCAAACAGG
rnacentral:rRNA from 1 species